CCUCGAGGAAAAUUCUUAAUUAAUGAGAAAGCGUAAUUUAACUAUGCAUGAAUCUGGUAUGCGUGAUCUAAUCUUUUGAGCGAUAAUCGGGAAUUCUACUAUUAAUCCUCGUUAAUAGAUUUAGCUAAUUCUCGUCUAGCGCGGUCGAAUAAAACUGUGAUUCUUCCUUCCUCAUCGGAAUAUUCUAGUCGUGAAAUAAACCUCGCAUUUGUACUUGAUUGAAAAAGGACUAACUCGGCUUUAAACGAGGUGUGACCUUGUAGAAAUUAUCGGGCUUUUCGAUAGAAGCAUCAUUACUAGCGUAACCUCAAAUAAUUAAUAGGCUCAAAAGAGAGUAGCCAAUUAAUUAAAUAAACCAGUGGCUUAAAUGAAAUAAACAAUAAUGGCUUGCUUUAAAGUCGGAAGUCCAAAAACAUUAAUUAAUAAACUGGGCGGCUCAUUACUGAUAAAUAAUUGGGCUCCAUCAAAAAUUGAUACUGCUAGGCUUAGCUCAAAGGAGUAACUUCAGCUCAAGCUUUAAAAGAAUUAAAGCCCAACUUAAAAAGUCUUCGACCCAAAACAAUUAAAAUAGGGGUCCAAAUAAUAAUUAAUGUGGACUGAAAAGAAUUAAUCUUAGCCCAGAAAGGCAAUUUAAUCGGCCAAAAUGAUGAAUUAAACUGGCCCAACGAAAUAUAAAUGGGACUAGAAUAAUAGCCCAUCAUAAAAUAUGCAUCAGCCCAAUUCCUUAAAUUAAUCGAGCCCAACUUAAAAUAAUUCGGCCCACAAUAAAUUAAAAGGGAAAGCCCAAUAUAUGCUAGCCCAUGUGAAAUUAAGGGAUAUGGUUCUGGGCCCAAAUUAAUGGGAUAACAAACAGCCCAUCUAAAAAAAAUACUCCAAAAUCGGCCCAAGCAAAGGAAAUAAACUUAAGCCCAAACAAUUUAAAAAAAACAAAAGGCCCAAAAGCUCUACUUCUCCUCCCCCUCUCGGUUAUCUCUCUCUCAACUCUCAAACCAGUCGCUCGUCCUCCUUCUUCUCUCUCUCGCUGAAAAUCCAAUCGAGCUCUCUCUCUCGAUUCACGGCUCCGACGAGGUUGCCGGCGUCGCCGCCGCCUAAGCCCGGCAAGAAAAAGAAAAAGGCAGCGGCUUGCCGCCGAGCCGUCGCCGGCCGUGAGCAGCCCCCGGCUGUUCUCACCCACUUCUAUUCCGGCGAGUAGCAGCGAAAGCCGCCGCCGAUCCCUGUGUUCACGGCUCAGCAGCCUCACAAUCUCAGCCCUCUCCUCGCCGAUCGACUGCAACGAAGGUCGCCACCUUCGACGGCCUCCUCCAACAACUCACACAUCCCGACUCACAACAACAGCGACAACAGCUUCAUCUCAACACUCACGCCCACACACAAUGCAUAGAUACUCCCUUUUCUUUUCUUUAACCAAUUUGUGAUAAUUCUAAAAUGUAGUAGAAAGAACAUUUUAUGGAACUCAUUUAUCAGAAAAAGAACAAGGUAUGCGUGCUGAUUUCUGUGACAUAAUAUGUGUGCGUAUCCUCUGUGAAUUGUGCAGUCCUAGUUAGUGUUGAUUAUGUACAUGAACAUGUCAUCGGUGAUGGUUUUCUUUAUAAAAUGAAUGACUGAUUUUGAGUGUAUGUGUGAGUUGGUUUACCUCUUAUGAAAAUAAGUUGAUUUCUCCAGGAGUGAGUUGCUGUAAAUUGAUGUUGGCUGCUGUGGUGUUUGAAUCAGUGGAUAGAAACUGAAAUAAAUCAUACUUGUUUCUUUCAAUAAAUACAGGUUGCAAAUGGAAGAAAGGUGGAAACAUUAAGGCAAGCUUACCUUGAGAACUUGACAGGAACAAGCUGGGAUUGUUCUUUGGUACUCUGUGAAUGAGCUGAGAGUGAGUAUUGCAUUAUUGCGUGUGGUGGGGAAGGAAAUAAGUGGAAAGUUUGGUGGAGAAAAAGGGUGGUGGCUGAUAGUUGAGUGUGGUGGGGAAGUUGGUGGAGUGGAGAAGUGGAGUGGAGAAGUGGGGAGCAAAGACGUGUACAUUAUUUACAAAAGAUUGAAAUAAUAAUUGUAUUUAAACUUUAAUUGAUUGAAGAGCUUUUGCUUUUGUAAUAUACUAAACGAUUUUCCCCAAGCUGGGAACUAGCCUGUAAUCUGUGAACUGUAAAUAAAUACUGGCUUCGAUUUUCAAUCAUCGCAUUUCUGUA